AGAAAAUAUUCUAAUAGAGAUUGUUUACGCUAUUAUCUCUAUUGAGUAUAUGUCACAGAUUUAGUUAUAUAUACUUAAGUUUAUUGAAAACUAUUAAAAAUUAUCUCGCAUGCAUUCAAAUAAAUAGAAAUAAAAUUUUCAGUGAAAACUUUGCAAACGUGAUUUGAACUAAAUGUAAAGGACGUUUCGUAAAGGCACACUACCCUGCCAUUUAACUCACAAAAUCGAGUCCUUCCAUUCAAAACUUUUAUUUAAGGAUUGGUUUCAAUAACUCUUUUCAGUAAUUCUAACAAAGUUAUCCUACGUCCCUGCUUUAGUUAGUAAAUAUGGCUUUAACUCGUUUAUUCAAUGCUUGCAAGAAAAUCUGUGGAGCUAUGGUUGCCAAUGUUGUAUAUUUAGGCUAUUUCAAAAAUAAUAGAAAACGCAAAUUUAAAAACAAAAUUCAAAACCAAAACAAAAAUAGCCGAGUGUGUAGAAACCGAUCAGCAGGAAGAUUAUCAAAAAAACUAACUCAAUUCGACUCAAUUCGAAGCGUUCAGCAAGGACCACUACUUACAAGAUCUAGAUACAAGAACAACCCCAGUGAGCAGUUGUUUCAACUGGUGAAUGGAAUUGCUGAAGUAGUUAUCUAUUAACGUUAAAGUUAAGUACUCUAAGAGGUGGUUGAUGGAAAACAGUUGACGAGAAUUUGAUAUACCAAAAUUUUUAAUGCAAAAUUGUCAGUUUCUUGUAUAUUUUCAAAUGCGAAAUAUGUUUGGAUGUAACGCAGUCGAAAUUAAAUAUAUUUACAUGGUAUUAUUGACCGCAUCUUAGAAUUGUUGAAUAAAUGUUCCUAUGUUACCUUAA